UCUUCCAGCUGCCUAGUCUUCUUCUCCUCUUUCUCUUUCAGUCGCUCAUAAUAUUAUCUUCUAGCUCAAAUUUCUGAGAUCAUGGAGAAGAAAGCCCUCCUCGGACUUGUGGUUAUCCUUCUAGCUCUCUCCCAUGUUGCUUCUGUUCCUGCAACCAGAAGCCUCCUGGCCAAACAAGCGGAUCCAUCACCAGUAGUGCAAGAUCAUCAUGUUAAGGAGGCCACGAACUUAAAAACCAGUACUGAGGAGGCUUUU